AAAACACAUUAAUAUGUUAUUUUAUCUUUACAAAGAUAAUAUAAUAUAAUACAUGAUGACUUUGCCACACAGAUUUUCAACAAAAUCUUGGACGUAGCUGGACUCUUUCAUAUGUGCUUGAAAACAAAUUAUUGCAAAGAUGAUCUCUAAGUCCAUGCAGAAUCUGCAUGCUUGUGAUUAAACAGAAACUAAAUUAAUUAAAAAUAUCUCCGACCAUCUUCUCCAUGUUCUGACCUCACAUGUUGAAUCUCCUACAACAUAUUCAAAAAUAUAACAUGCUUUUG
rnacentral:lncRNA from 1 species